CCUANGGGUGGCUGCAGGCGCGAAAACUUCGCAAUGUGGGAAACCACGACGAGGGAAUCCCAAGUGCCAACGAUUUUUCGUUGGCUGUUGCCCUGUCUAAAAAACAGGGAGAGUAAGGGCUGGGUAAGACGGGUGCCAGCCGCCGCGGUAAUACCCGCGGCCCAAGUGGUGCUCGUUAUUAUUGGGUUUAAAACGUCCGUAGCCGGUCCGGUAAAUUCUUGGGUAAAUCGACUGGCUUAACCAGUCGAAUUCCGGGGAGACUGCCGGACUCGGGACCGGGGGAGGUCGGAGGUACUUCCAGGGUAGGGGUGAAAUCCUGUAAUCCUGGGGGGACAACCAGUGGCGAAGGCGUCCGACCAGAACGGCUCCGACGGUAAGGGACGAAGCCCUGGGGCGCAAACGGGAUUAGAUACCCUANUANUC
rnacentral:rRNA from 1 species